UACGAAGGGGGCAAGCGUUGUUCGGAAUUACUGGGCGUAAAGGGCGCGUAGGCGGUCUUCUAAGUCUUGUGUGAAAUCCCUCGGCUCAACUGAGGAACUGCACGGGAUACUGGAAGACUUGAGUUCGGGAGAGGGAAGCGGAAUUCCGGGUGUAGCGGUGAAAUGCGUAGAUAUCCGGAGGAACACCGGUGGCGAAGGCGGCUUCCUGGACCGAUCACUGACGCUGAGGCGCGAAAGCUAGGGGAGCAAACGGG
rnacentral:rRNA from 1 species